rnacentral:tRNA from 1 species
GCGCCCGUAGCUCAGCUGGAUAGAGUACCUGACUACGAAUCAGAUGGUCGGACGUUCGAAUCGUCUCGGGCGUGCCA